CUGCGCUGCGAAGGUAGAAAAGGGGCUUGUGACAGGCCUGUCUCAGCCAGUCGCGCGGAAGAAGGGACGAGGUGACGGAGAAAGAGGGAGAGGAAAGGAAAGAAAGAAAAAGAAAGAGAGAGCGGUUCCUUCAUGCGGUACCUGUCCGGCCGCUUCGGUUCAUAAGUGAUACUCAGUUCGCCGAGCGACGAGCAGCGGAAUAGAGUAGCCUGAAGGAGUGAGGACAAGAGAGAGAGAGAGAGAGAAGAGAGAGAGAGAGAGAGAGAGAGAGAGAGACGUAAAAUCGAGUCGAGUAAGGAAACGACGAUUGCCGCCGGACAAUUAAUUCCGAUUCUUGAGUACUCUAUCUCUCUCUUUCUUUUUUUUCUCCUUCACGCUUCUGUACGCCUUCUUUUCUCGCGACGCAUCGCACGAAAUUCGCCAUUCAGGAGGCCGUCGCCGAUCUGUCGCGUCAUAGGGAGUAGAUCGGCGACCGGACUCUUGCACGACGAUACGUUUCAUAUUGUAUUGUGUACGCGCUCUACAUGAUGUAUGGUAUCGAGCGCUGGUUGGCCGACGGAUUUGACGAAAGAUGGGACGAGGAAAGGCAGAGCUGUUAGUUAAUAUUAUUUUUGUAACGUCUUCGACGUGUCUGAAAUUUUGCAUUAUUAUUAUUAUAUCAUCCAGUCAACGUAGGCGUGUUAUAACGAAUCUAUCUGCGCACCAGCCAGUCACUGUUGAGGAGGAGGUUGAUCUACAACUGCUGUGUAGCCUUUCUCGCGUCAACCGUGAGAGCGAAACGGACGAAUUGUUUCCUUACUUUCGCGACUCUUCGAGACACGAAGUCAGAGAGACGAGAGCAAAAUUAUGUAUAACGAGGGACGAGCCCGUUUCAGCAAUUCGCGGAACAAUUCGGAAAAAUCUCGGCGGAUUCAUGAUGUGCGCAACCGGCGGUUGCUGCUUUUCGCGUGCGGUCGUUUCGCGCGCGUGAGAAAAAAGAAAUCCAUUCAAGACAUAUACCGCAGGUUUCCCGUUUUAUGAUGUUAAUCGAGUUCAGAUCUACCUCAUCUGAAACAGCAAAAGUAGUACGAGAUAAAAAGAAAAGAACAGUUAUAACAAACCGUAUAGCGAUUCUAAACAUUUUUCCUAGAGUUUAGGCGGUAGAUUUGUAUGCAGGGUGUAGAGAGGCUGUAGCUGACAAGGUACUAUAAAUUGUAAUACAAUAUUCUCCCCUCGAAUUAAAAACUGUAAUUUUAAGAUUAA